UCCGAGUUAACCCCGGCAGUCUCCCUAGAGUUCCCGGCCGAACCGCUGGCAACUAGGGACAAGGGUUGCGCUCGUUGCGGGACUUAACCCAACAUCUCACGACACGAGCUGACGACAGCCAUGCACCACCUGUCACCGACCCCCGAAGGGACCCCCCAUCUCUGAAGGAUUUCCGGCGAUGUCAAACCCAGGUAAGGUUCUUCGCGUUGCAUCGAAUUAAUCCGCAUGCUCCGCCGCUUGUGCGGGCCCCCGUCAAUUCAUUUGAGUUUUAACCUUGCGGCCGUACUCCCCAGGCGGUCUACUUAGUGCGUUAGCUGCGCCACUAAGAGCUCAAGGCUCCCAACGGCUAGUAGACAUCGUUUACGGCGUGGACUAC
rnacentral:misc_RNA from 1 species